AUUUCUGAAUAUAUCUAGCAUCAACUGAUUAUUUAUUCGUGUUGCAUUUAUGGAUGUGAUACUUGGACGUUCUUCUUCCAUUACAGCCCCUUCUUUCUCACACAUAUGGUGCGAACGCAGAUUAUACCCAUGUAUACGGGACCUACAGUUUAAAUGCUGAACAGCAAUUGGAGAGAGGUUUUCACGGCAUGAAUACUCUUAGUGGUUUGCCAGAUCAUCGAAGAGGAGCCACGAGCGCAUUUUUUCUCCCUCUGCCGGGAACCGAAACCUUUAGUACAAUAUAAAUCCAGAAUUAGACGCCAGUCAGAAGAUAGCAGUGUUACAAUAGAAGUUAACUGAGUUGCGGGAGACGUACGACGCUGUGAAAGUUGAACUUGCCACGAUAGAACGACGUCGGAAGAAAUUACGAAAACUAGAACGAGAAGAUGUCAUGCAUUCUUUUCGAGUAACGUAACUCCUAGUCUUCAUUAGAUCGCCAUUAUUCGUCGACUAUCGGAGACUCGAAACUCGUGGAACGAGGAGGAAAGAUCUGUCGUGAGUAAUGUUAAUGUUAAACCAUUCUGUUUCAGUAGUCAAAGCAGCUAAGGCGAUAAGAUGGGACAAGCUUGCUCGUGAUACAACAAUCCUGAAAGAUUAGAAAUGUUCUUUCCUCGAGCACUAAAUGAGGCUCUUUGAGAUGUUUGAGAUAACUGGAAUAUCAAAGUAGUGUCACGUAGCGUGCAAUCACGGCGACAAUUCAUGACAAUUUUUACCUAUGUAACAUCGCUUGGUAGGUAAUAUCUGCCCCUUCACGCACUUCCUCCAUUAAUAUAAAAUUGUAGAUCUAGUAGUAAAAUUUAGUGUAAGGGGAGAUACGUUUAUCAAGAUGAGAGAAAGAGCGUGAAAGAAUAAAAGAGACGUAUAUAUACAUAUAUAUAUAUAUAUAUACAUAUGUGUAAUUUAUUAUAUAUAUUUAAAAUUAUUCCACACGUUAUACUUAAAAUCUGUUAUACGUAUUAUUUAUUAUAUUGUGGCUUACAAACGAAGACGAACAGAUUAAGAUCUCUGUAAAAUUUACACACAAGACUCGUUAAUAUAACAUAAUUGUACAAACAUUCAUGUUAUUGUACUUUGCACUUAUAUAUUAGGAUAAUAAGAGACGACUAUGUUUUUUUUCUUCUCGAUUUAACAAAUGUUUGAUCGACUUUUAACGUAAUGCACCAUUUAACGAAAAUGCACGAUAUACAAUUAUCUGCAUUUUCUCCUGUGUUACUCGUCCUGUUGCGGCGAAUAAUAACAGAAAACUUGAAGGAAAGAAGAAAACAGCGGAAAUCAUAUCAAUCGCUAAAAAAUACAUUGACUCGCUUUGUUUAUAUGCAUCAUAAAUUAGUCCUCACAUUUUAAUUUUAUGCUCUAAUUUUCUAAGACUAAGAAAUUUCUACAUUAUACGAUUGUAGUUGCAUCGCGAUACUAUAUACUUCAUUUAUCUUUGUACACCAGUAAGAAUUGAUGCGUCGAAGGUACAACAGUAUCGUUAAACGAGAAAAAGAGGGAAAGAAUUAGAGAAUAUUGUAAAACACAUCUUUUAAAGAAAGCACUGUAAGACUCGUAAAAUAAUAUACAAACGUACGUAUGACUAAGAGACGACGUAUUGAGUACCCGGAGUAACGACGAGAAUUAUUCUGUCACGAGACAAUAUGGACAUCGUAAUGAAAUAUUCUAAAAAAAAAAAAAAAAAAUAAAGAACUUGUAGAUUAAUGCAAGUACAGAUACAAAAUUCAAACCUUGCGAAUGAUUUCGGACUUGUUCGCGUUUUUACAUCUAAUAACCUUUUUAAAAUUUAGUCGUUGACAUUUGACUUGAUAUUUAUUGCUGCAUGCCUUUGCGUCCUAUAAGACGCUGAUUUGUUGAACAAUGAAAUUAACACACCAAUAGAAUUCUUUUAACGCGUCUCGAAACGCGCGCAUUUUGCGUUAAAUAUUUGUUUGUAGUUUUUUUCGACAACUAAUCGGUGAAAAAUAGAUUGUCGUGUUCCGUUCAAUUACGAAUCUCAAUUCAAUGUCCGACGCGAUUCUCAGAACGCACGCGGAAAUUACGCCGAGUUACUGCCAGAUACCCGAUAAUGUCUCGAACAUGAACAUGCAUCCGAUUAUUUCAAUAGUAUUGCGCUUGCCCAAAACAGUUCGCAUCAAAAGUAUACAUACUUUGUUGCAAACUACCGACCACGCAGGUCAGCGAGAAAGAUCAAUGCGACAUUACAUGAUUUCUUGUAUAAAUCAACGAAAGAGGCUGCCUUUAUCGCCUACAUAUGCAAGCGCACACCUCGUUGAAGCUAUCUCGAUAUAUGGUCAAUGUUUUUCUCCAAGGCAAGAGAGAGUGUGCACUGACAUGAUGCAGCCUUCAUCAAACCUCACUAAUACCAUGAAAGAAUACUCAGUCUUGCUGAAACGAAUGUGCAAUGUCACGUGAAAACAUUGUGUUAUGUGUAGAAAAUAUAGAAUUUGACAUUAUUUUACUUUGA